rnacentral:rRNA from 1 species
UACGUAGGUGGCAAGCGUUUAUCCGGAAUUAUUGGGCGUAAAGCGCGCGCAGGCGGUUUCUUAAGUCUGAUGUGAAAGCCCACGGCUCAACCGUGGAGGGUCAUUGGAAACUGGGGAACUUGAGUGCAGAAGAGAAAAGCGGAAUUCCACGUGUAGCGGUGAAAUGCGUAGAGAUGUGGAGGAACACCAGUGGCGAAGGCGGCUUUUUGGUCUGUAACUGACGCUGAGGCGCGAAAGCGUGGGGAGCAAACAGG